rnacentral:rRNA from 1 species
AUUGAACGCUGGCGGCAGGCUUAACACAUGCAAGUCGAGCGGGGUGAUGGUGCUUGCACUAUCACUUAGCGGCGGACGGGUGAGUAAUGCUUAGGAAUCUGCCUAUUAGUGGGGGACAACAUCUCGAAAGGGAUGCUAAUACCGCAUACGUCCUACGGGAGAAAGCAGGGGAUCACUUGUGACCUUGCGCUAAUAGAUGAGCCUAAGUCGGAUUAGCUCGUUGGCGGGGAAAAGGCCUACCAAGGCGACGAUCUGUAGCGGGUCUGAGAGGAUGAUCCGCCACACUGGGACUGAGACACGGCCCAGACUCCUACGGGAGGCAGCAGUGGGGAAUAUUGGACAAUGGGGGGAACCCUGAUCCAGCCAUGACGCGUGUGUGAAGAAGGCCUUAUGGUUGUAAAGCACUUUAAGCGAGGAGGAGGCUCUUUUGGUUAAUACCCAAGAUGAGUGGACGUUACUCGCAGAAUAAGCACCGGCUAACUCUGUGCCAGCCGCCGCCGUAA